CCGAGCCGGAUCCAUAACUGCUCGCGCGGCUAUUCAAAUGCACGCGCAUCUUUAAAUGCACGGAUAAGGCAGAAUCAAGAGCCCAGAGACAAGCAAACAACGCCGACCGAGACGGAGUUUUUGCCCGUGGAUGCUGUGAUUCGAUCAUGGAAACGGUGGAAAAGCGAUUAUCCUGCUGGACGAGACCCGCCGGAUGGAUGCGGGAUGCGCCGUGCAUGCGGAGCUGAACUCUGAACAAAUUACGCACUAAAGCGAACGAUUGCUUUCAAUGACAAACUGUGGAUAACGCACAGAACUUACAGUUUUAAGAAAGAAACUGAUCCGCUAAUGUUAUCCAGAAUCGAUUGUUGCAUAUUUCAACCAUCCCCUGCGCAGAACGCUCUGUGAUCGCUGUUAGCUUCAGGAGUCUUGAAGCGUCACCUUUGACAUGUCCCCUAUAUGCGCACGAGCGGGGGCCCAGGGCUGGGGGCCCCAGGACUGACCACUGCAAGCUGUCAAGCUGUCGCCCCACCCGGGCUUGGACGCUUUCGCCGGGCUCCUAACAGUCAAGUUAUCCCGUUCUCUCGCUUGACUGGACAUGAAACUGACUUUUUGGAGUCGAUUUUAACUAUAAACAAUGUGAAGUCGUGCAAAGUGAUAUCUCUUUAAUGUAUGUGUGGGGGGUGUGGUGGGGGAUCUUGUAACUGCCUUGGUAAUUUUUGUCUUGC